GAUAGAAUAUAAGAAAUAAGAACCUGUGAAAAAUUACAGGUGUCUUAUUAACGAUCUAGUGAUUUAGUGUUGAACAGUGGGAGAAAAAAGCUUGGAGUCAGAUGGGCCUGAGUUCUAAUCCUGAGAUGGUCUAAACCUGAGCAAUUCUACCUUAGUGAGCAAUCCGAACUUAGGAAAGUUAAUUAACCUUUCUCAUCUAAUUAAAAAGAGCAAUUACUGCCUUGCAGGGUUGUUGCUAGAAAAUAUGACAGUCUUCUGGUGUGAAACAUCCGAAUCCUGAUUAUGCUCUCUGCCACAUGUCCAGAGUUAUUCUGAAAGUAUGUCCUUCCAUGCCAGAACUGCAAAAGUGCCCCCUGACGGUCUAUCCCAGUGUUUCAGACUCAUCUCAAACACAGCUUCCUCUCUUCGAACUACAUAUCAUGUGGCAUCUAUGUAAAACAAAUAAAUAUGAAGAUAAAAAU